GCACUUCACCAGGGGGGCCCCGGCAAGGGGCUGAGAUAUCGCUGGCGAGGCCGAAAGGCCCACGCGCGCGCAGACCCUUCGAACCUGAUCCAGUUCAUACUGGCGUAGGGACGGUGCGCGGCUGUUGGG
rnacentral:ncRNA from 2 species